rnacentral:rRNA from 1 species
AACGAACGCUGGCGGCAGGCUUAACACAUGCAAGUCGAGCGCCCCGCAAGGGGAGCGGCAGACGGGUGAGUAACGCGUGGGAAUCUACCCAUCUCUACGGAAUAACGCAUGGAAUCGUGUGCUAAUACCGUAUACGUCCCUCGGGAGAAAGAUUUAUCGGAGAUGGAUGAGCCCGCGUUGGAUUAGCUAGUUGGUGGGGUAAAGGCCUACCAAGGCGACGAUCCAUAGCUGGUCUGAGAGGAUGAUCAGCCACACUGGGACUGAGACACGGCCCAGACUCCUACGGGAGGCAGCAGUGGGGAAUAUUGGACAAUGGGCGCAAGCCUGAUCCAGCCAUGCCGCGUGAGUGAUGAAGGCCCUAGGGUUGUAAAGCUCUUUCACCGGUGAAGAUAAUGACGGUAACCGGAGAAGAAGCCCCGGCUAACUUCGUGCCAGCAGCCGCCGUAAUAC